GUGAAUCAUCGAAUUUUUGAACGCAAAUUGCACUCUCUGGUAUUCCGGAAAGUAUGCCUGUUUGAGGGUCAGUUAAAUAAAAAUCGGGGUUGUUGCUGCCUUUCGUGGUGCCGCGCCGGAUUUGGGUCGUCUUACCUUUGGUUUAGUGAAUUAAAAUUUUUGUAUAUUAUUUGUACGUAUUUAAAUAACUUA
rnacentral:misc_RNA from 1 species